rnacentral:rRNA from 1 species
UACGAAGGGGGCUAGCGUUGCCCGGAAUUACUGGGCGUAAAGGGCGCGUAGGCGGCCAGUUUAGUCAGAGGUGAAAGCCCAGGGCUCAACCUUGGAAAUGCCUUUGAUACUGACUGUCUUGAGUUCGGGAGAGGUGAGUGGAAUGCCGAGUGUAGAGGUGAAAUUCGUAGAUAUUCGGCGGAACACCAGUGGCGAAGGCGGUUCUCUGGGACGGUACUGACGCUGAGACGCGAAAGCGUGGGGAGCGAACAGG